rnacentral:rRNA from 1 species
AGAGUUUGAUCCUGGCUCAGGACGAACGCUGGCGGCGUGCUUAACACAUGCAAGUCGAACGAUGAAGGUGGGAGCUUGCUCCUGCUGGAUUAGUGGCGAACGGGUGAGUAACACGUGAGUAACCUGCCCUUGACUCUGGGAUAAGCGUUGGAAACGACGUCUAAUACCGGAUACGAGCUUCAGCCGCAUGGCUAGGAGCUGGAAAGAAUUUCGGUCAAGGAUGGACUCGCGGCCUAUCAGGUAGUUGGUGAGGUAAAGGCUCACCAAGCCGACGACGGGUAGCCGGCCUGAGAGGGUGACCGGCCACACUGGGACUGAGACACGGCCCAGACUCCUACGGGAGGCAGCAGUGGGGAAUAUUGCACAAUGGGCGAAAGCCUGAUGCAGCAACGCCGCGUGAGGGAUGACGGCCUUCGGGUUGUAAACCUCUUUUAGUAGGGAAGAAGCGAAAGUGACGGUACCUGCAGAAAAAGCACCGGCUAACUACGUGCCAGCAGCCGCGGUAAUACGUAGGGUGCAAGCGUUGUCCGGAAUUAUUGGGCGUAAAGAGCUCGUAGGCGGUUUGUCGCGUCUGCUGUGAAAACUGGAGGCUCAACCUCCAGCCUGCAGUGGGUACGGGCAGACUAGAGUGCGGUAGGGGAGAUUGGAAUUCCUGGUGUAGCGGUGGAAUGCGCAGAUAUCAGGAGGAACACCGAUGGCGAAGGCAGAUCUCUGGGCCGUAACUGACGCUGAGGAGCGAAAGCAUGGGGAGCGAACAGGAUUAGAUACCCUGGUAGUCCAUGCCGUAAACGUUGGGAACUAGAUGUGGGGUCCAUUCCACGGAUUCCGUGUCGCAGCUAACGCAUUAAGUUCCCCGCCUGGGGAGUACGGCCGCAAGGCUAAAACUCAAAGGAAUUGACGGGGGCCCGCACAAGCGGCGGAGCAUGCGGAUUAAUUCGAUGCAACGCGAAGAACCUUACCAAGGCUUGACAUAUACGAGAACGGGCUAGAAAUAGUCAACUCUUUGGACACUCGUAUACAGGUGGUGCAUGGUUGUCGUCAGCUCGUGUCGUGAGAUGUUGGGUUAAGUCCCGCAACGAGCGCAACC